CCACCUCCUACUCCCCCUAUUGAGUUUGGGGAUUCAUCUGACCAGAGGGUUUGGUUGUCUUUGAAAGGCAAAGAAUUUGUUCCUUCAAAGGGCCCUGCUGAUGUGAUCUCAGGGAUCUUCAAGCUAAAGUUUGAGGGAGCAUGGCCUAUUGUAAAGCUAUAGCUGAAUCGGUUCGAGACAGGUGGUUUGAAGAGUUUUAGAAAGAGUAUAAGUGGGAUCCACAACAUGAUCGAGCUAUAAGAAAGGCCUUUGAGCAUAAGGAAUCAUCUCUUUUGAAAAAUAUUAUGCAUAAGGUUAGACAAGGUGUAGAUAAGGGGAGUUGGAUCCCUAACAAUUUUAGGGAAAUUUUGGACCAACAUUGGGCUUUUGUAAAGUUCCAAAACAAAAGCAACAUUGCCAAGAAAAAUCGAGCUGUUGAGAAUGGAGCAACAACUUACACUGGCAGCUCCAUAUCUGCUGGAGCUCACUUUGAGAAGUUGACUAGGGAGCUUCGUCGACCCCCUACUACUUGAGAAUUGGUGGAAAAGACAAAGAAGUUGAAGACCAGAGAAUGGAUGAGUGAUAAAGUUUGCAAAAUUGUUGUAAAUUACUCUUUUUAAGAAAACCAC